AAUAAAUGGAGCGUCAUAAAAUAUUGGCGUGUGUAUUAAAUUCCUGGGGAAUACUUGGUGUGACAAGGAUUCGGGUUAAUUGCUCAAAAACAUGAUAAUGGGGAAGACACAAUGGACCAGUAUUGGUUCAUAAAAUCAGCAGAACUGUUUAAUUAAGAUGUGUUUCAUCAAGUUGAGAUCUGUACUCUUGGCUGCCAUUUACAACCUUUUGUUCUCCGCUA